rnacentral:rRNA from 1 species
AGCAGCCGCGGUAAUUCCAGCUCCAAUAGCGUAUAUUAAAGUUGCUGCAGUUAAAAAGCUCGUAGUUGAAUUUCGGGACCAUCAUGUCGGUCGUGCCUCGGUACGUACUGGCAUUGUUGGUUUCUCCCUUCUGACGAACCAUGAUGUCAUUUAUUUGGUGUCGUGGGAAAUCAGGACUGUUACUUUGAAAAAUUAGAGUGUUUAAAGCAGGCUCACGCUUGAAUACAUUAGCAUGGAAUAAUGAAAUAGGACGUUUGAUUCUAUUUUGUUGGUUUCUAGGAUCGACGUAAUGAUUAAUAGGGAUAGUUGGGGGCAUUAGUAUUCAAUUGUCAGAGGUGAAAUUCUUGGAUUUAUUGAAGACUAACUACUGCGAAAGCAUUUGCCAAGGAUGUUUUCAUUAAUCAAGAACGAAAGUUAGGGGAUCGAAGACGAUCAGAUACCGUCGUAGUCUUAACCAUAAA